AUCGCCGAAAUGGCUCCG
rnacentral:snRNA from 1 species